CGGAGCGUAGCGCAGCCCGGUAGCGCAUCUGGUUUGGGACCAGAGGGUCGGGAGUUCGAAUCUCUCCGCUCCGA
rnacentral:tRNA from 1 species